UAAUAAUUAUUAAAAUAAAAUAAAAUUAUAAUUUAAAAACAAAUUAUUUGUAGGUAAAUAUUGUAAUUAUAAUAUAUAAUUAUAUAUUAUAAGUAAAUCUGAGAGUUUUAGAUGGCUUAUGCUUGUCUAACACUGCCAUACACGUACAACUGACUGUCAAUCGUGUAGUGUUUGCACAAAAAAUUUCGAACUCGACCGAUUUGUUUCAAACCGUCGCGCAACUACUCAAACCACGCCAUACACGCUAAAAAUGUUUUUAGAUUUUUAUAAACAAUUUUAUAAAAUCCAAUUACAAAUAACAUCACAACUCACUACCGAGGACCGAGAGACGCAUGGACCGGACCCGACUGACUGACUCGACCGUUCCAUCAGUACCAUGCACCCUCCGGCCUUGUAACAGGUUGACCAACCCCACAACUAACAGUAUUUAACACGUUUGAUACGAAAAACGAUGAUUAUCUAGAUAGAUAUGUAAUGUUAUAGUGUAAUAGUUAUUUAUAUAAAAUAUUGUCUACACAAUUGCGUGCUCAUUUC